rnacentral:tRNA from 1 species
CGACCAGUGGCGUAGCGGUCUAACGCAUCUCCGUAUCAAGGAGACGGUUGCGAGUUCGCAUCCCACCUGGCUGG